GAUGAACGCUGGCGGCGUGCCUAAUACAUGCAAGUCGAGCGAACGGACGAGAAGCUUGCUUCUCUGAUGUUAGCGGCGGACGGGUGAGUAACACGUGGAUAACCUACCUAUAAGACUGGGAUAACUUCGGGAAACCGGAGCUAAUACCGGAUAAUAUUUUGAACCGCAUGGUUCAAAAGUGAAAGACGGUCUUACUGUCACUUAUAGAUGGAUCCGCGCUGCAUUAGCUAGUUGGUAAGGUAACGGCUUACCAAGGCAACGAUGCAUAGCCGACCUGAGAGGGUGAUCGGCCACACUGGAACUGAGACACGGUCCAGACUCCUACGGGAGGCAGCAGUAGGGAAUCUUCCGCAAUGGGCGAAAGCCUGACGGAGCAACGCCGCGUGAGUGAUGAAGGUCUUCGGAUCGUAAAACUCUGUUAUUAGGGAAGAACAUAUGUGUAAGUAACUGUGCACAUCUUGACGGUACCUAAUCAGAAAGCCACGGCUAACUACGUG
rnacentral:rRNA from 1 species